GUCCCAAAGUUGUACCUUUUUGAACAUGAGCCACCAGCUCAUUAUUUUGGCUAUGGUGGCCCUCCCAAGGGCUUGUUUUGGCCCGAAAAUCGGGCCAUGAGCGAGUACAAUAAUAACAGUCGAGAUUAGAUCGAGCAUAAGUUAUUAUUUAUGCAUUAUGGGGUUUUUUUUUUUUCCGAUCUCUAAAGUAAAGUUUGUCGAAGUAAAAGGCGUUAUUUAGCUGCUUGUUCACUUUCGGUUUAGCUCCAACGGCUAGAAAGGCUCCCCGAAAUGAUAUUAUGCCCUUUUACUUAGUAGUGUUUAAGAAGAGAGUACAAACUACAAAACCUGUGUGAUCUUCCCAGCAGGCAUCAAUGGCUGCCAACAAAUUUGCAGCAAUGUUGCAGAGAAGUGCCCAUAGUAUCACUGCAGUUUUAGUGUCUGCAGUUCUUGAGUGGAUUCUCAUACUUCUCCUCCUCCUCAGCUCCACCUUGUCCUACUUCACCGAGAGAUUCGCCGCCUAUUUUGGCCUAAAACCGCCCUGCAGUUGGUGUUCGAGGAUCAAUCGGGUGCUGCAGCCCGAUAGGAAGAAUGCACAUUUCUGUCGAGAUCUUUUCUGUGAGGAGCAUGCUCGAGAGGUUUCCGAACUCGGGUACUGCUCGAAUCAUCGGAGGCUUGCUGAAUCGGGGAGGUUAUGCAGCGAUUGCUCGCCUUCUAGACUGCCCGAGAAUGCUGCAGAGAAGACCACUGGAAUCUCUGCAAGUAUAGGCUUCUUUACUUGGGUGAGUGAGAGUGCAGCAGAGAAUAAUAGUUGCAGGUGUUCUUGCUGUGAUGAGAGCUUGAGCAAGAAGCUUGAUCUUCCUUGCCUGCAGUUCAAGCCUUCUUGGGAUAUUCUUCAUCAAAUCUGGAAAACCAGAGUUGUGAAUGAUGACAGAUAUGAAGAAUUCGAACUCUCUGCAGAUCAAAAGAAUGGCAACAGAGCCAAAAAUGGUGAUAAUCUUGCCUUCCCUGAUUCUGAUACAGAGAGUUUCAGUUUCGGGCCAAUAGUGGAGCAGGAUUGUUCGAUUUCAGUAUCGAAUUUCCCACGCUACCAGAAGCCGAGUUUUCUUGGCAGAGACAAGGCUGAUGCAGAUGACAAUUUCCCAGAGCAUGAACAGCAGCAGAACUGUUUCAGAAUCCUAAACGUUGGAGCUGAAUCUUCAGACAACAUAGUAAGCGUGUUGGAAGAAGGCGGGGACGAGAAUCUCACCAUUGAGCAGCUGAAAUCCGCGUUGAAUGCAUCGUAUGCAGAGCUCGAGGAAGAACGAAACGCUGCUGCCAUAGCUGCGAGCCAGACAAUGGCUAUGAUCUCGAAGCUGCAGGAAGAGAAGGCUGCAAUGCAGAUGGAGGCAUUGCAGUACCAGAGAAUGAUGGAAGAGCAAUCGGAGUACGACCAGGAAGCGUUGCAGAUCCUAAACGAUCUGAUGAUGAAGCGAGAGAAAGAGAAGCAAGAACUCGAGAAGGAGCUGGAGACUUCCCAGAAGAAGGUUUCAUAUUAUGAAUCCAGAGAAAAGACGAGAAGGAGAAGUAAGCAAUCUCCUGCUUCUCCUCCCAGCAGUCCCACCUAUGAAGGGAAACAUGACAACAUUAGUAUUUCCAACGUAGACUUGAUCGCGAGGGAAUCAGACACAGAUUCCCUUGAGCAUAUCAGCGUUCUUGACAAAUCGGUGAUAGAGUUUGAGGAAGAGAGGACAUCCAUCUUACAAGAACUCAAGGAACUGGAAGACAGGCUUUUAGCACUGGCAGACGAAAAUGGUACACUUGAGCAUUUCCCAGAAGAUUAUGAGAGCUAUGUCCAUAGCUUCCUAGAACAAAAUGGGAAUUCAAUUGGAUCAUCAGAGAGAGAAUCAUUAAGCUCCACAGCAAAGAAUCUGCUGCCCCUUCUCGACGAAGAAGCAGAAUCCAUCGAAGAAGAGCUUGAAGAACACAGUCCUUCUGUGAUGAUCAACAGCAGACUUGCCAUAAUGGAGGAAUUCGGGCACGUGUACGAGAAGCUACAAGCUCUCGAAGCCGACAAGGAAUUUCUGAAGCACUCCAUAAGCUCAUUGAAGAAAGGGGACAAGGGACUAGAUCUCCUCCAAGAAAUUUUGCAGCAUCUUCGCGAUCUCAAGUCAGUCGAAUCUGCAAACUAAGCCGGUAUAUCAUAUCACUUUUCAAGCUAAAUUUAUCAAUCAAAUACUAGUAUUGAUGGCAGAAGCUCACAUUUCAUUGUUUCAUUGUAAUGUGCACUAGAAUUUGUGUAUGUCUGGCCAUGGCUAUCUUGUAUGAAUAUACUGUUUUACAAAACUACAUUUACGGUUUAUGGUAUAGGCCCAACGGUUUAGUAGGUCUGAUAGGCUUAAUUGACAAUGACCCGAAUCACAAAUUUAGUGGUCCAA